rnacentral:lncRNA from 1 species
CCGCCGUGGGUGGCAGUCGGCCGCCCCGACUCGCCGGAAAAUCCAACUAUUUCCAAAAAUUACCAAAAUUUACAGAAAUGAAGAUCUCAAUGAGUAGAGUAAACUUUAUACCUGUGGUCAAUGCCAAUUUGGCCUGGAAAGGCUCCAAUUCCAUCAAACCCGUGAAGAACCCUAGAAAUGGGUGAGUUCCAAUUCGACCUCAAAUCAACUCCGCUGUCCCAACCAAUGCUUGGCCUUUGUUCUAGGCCUUAAGAGGAUGUUAUGAGUGGUGACAAUUGAAAGGAAUUGCUUCGGGAUUAGGUGAUUCGAAGCCAAAUCUCUCCAAUUUUGAGAUGGAAUGGAUAGAGGAAGGCGCCUAGAGUCUUUCCCAUGAGAUUUCUGGAAGCAAUUCGUCGAAAAAACG